rnacentral:rRNA from 1 species
UACGAAGGUGACAAGCGUUGUUCGGAAUCAUUGGGCGUAAAGCGCACGUAGGCGGGUUUGAAAGUCGAUUGUGAAAACCCUGGGCUCAACCCGGGACCUGCAGUCGAAACUUCAAGUCUUGAAUACUCGAGAGGAUGGUGGAAUUCCAGGAGUAGAAGUGAAAUUCGUAGAUAUCUGGAGGAACACCGGAGGCGAAAGCGGCCAUCUGGCGAGUUAUCGACGCUAAGGUGCGAAAGCGUGGGGAUCAAACAGG